UACGAAGGGGGCUAGCGUUGCUCGGAAUCACUGGGCGUAAAGGGUGCGUAGGCGGGUCUUUAAGUCAGGGGUGAAAUCCUGGAGCUCAACUCCAGAACUGCCUUUGAUACUGGCGAGCUUGAGUUCGGGAGAGGUGAGUGGAACUGCGAGUGUAGAGGUGAAAUUCGUAGAUAUUCGCAAGAACACCAGUGGCGAAGGCGGCUCACUGGCCCGGUACUGACGCUGAGGUGCGAAAGCGUGGGGAGCAAACAGG
rnacentral:rRNA from 1 species